rnacentral:misc_RNA from 1 species
UCCGGUUUAUCACCGGCAGUCUCCACAGAGUCCUCGGCUUUACCCGUUAGUAACUGUGAAUAAGGGUUGCGCUCGUUGCGCCACUUAAGGCAACACCUCACGGCACGAGCUGACGACAGCCAUGCACCACCUGUGCAGGCUCCGAAGAGCGCCGGCUUUCGCCGGUUUCACCCUGCAUGUCAAGCCCAGGUAAGGUUCUUCGCGUCGCAUCGAAUUAAGCAACAUGCUCCGCCGCUUGUGCGGGGCCCCGUCAAUUCCUUUGAGUUUUAGCCUUGCGGCCGUACUCCCCAGGCGGGGUGCCUAAUGCGUUAGCUUCGGCACGGACGGGGUUGAUAUCCGCCCACACCUAGCACCCAACGUUUACAGCUAGGACUAC